rnacentral:tRNA from 1 species
GGGGAGAUGGCUCAGCUGUUAAGAGCACUGACUACUCUUCUGGAGGUCCUGAGUUCAAAUCCCAGCAACCACA